rnacentral:rRNA from 14 species
CCCCGUGGAGCUUUACUACACCCUGUCAUUGUGAACUGGAUGUAGAUGUAGAGCGUAGGUGGGAGCUUCGGCACCAAUGGAACACCACCCUUCUGCAUCUGGUUUACUAACCCUUGCCAUUAUCUGGUACGGGGACAAUGACUGGCGGGUAGUUUGACUGGGGCGGUCGCCUCCCAAAAAGUAACGGAGGCGCCUAAAGGUGCACUCAGGCUGGUUGGAAAUCAGCCGUCGAGCAUAUAGGUAUAGAGUGCGCUUGACUGCGAGACACACAGGUCGAGCAGGGACGAAAGUCGAGCUAAGUGACCCUCUGGUGGUGCGUGGGCACGCCAGGGUUCAUCGGAUAUAAGCUACCCCGGGGAUAACAGGCUGAUCUUGCCCGAGCGCUCA